rnacentral:tRNA from 1 species
GCUGAGAUAGUUUAUUUAGAACUUUUAAUUUGUAAUUAAAAGGUUGUAUUAGCU